UCCUACGGGAGGCAGCAGUAGGGAAUCUUCCACAAUGGGCGAAAGCCUGAUGGAGCAACGCCGCGUGUGUGAUGAAGGGUUUCGGCUCGUAAAACACUGUUGUAAGAGAAGAAUGACAUUGAGAGUAACUGUUCAAUGUGUGACGGUAUCUUACCAGAAAGGAACGGCUAAAUACGUGCCAGCAGCCGCGGUAAUA
rnacentral:rRNA from 2 species